rnacentral:rRNA from 1 species
AUUGAACGCUGGCGGCAGGCCUAACACAUGCAAGUCGAACGGUAACAGGAAGCAGCUUGCUGCUUUGCUGACGAGUGGCGGACGGGUGAGUAAUGUCUGGGAAACUGCCUGAUGGAGGGGGAUAACUACUGGAAACGGUAGCUAAUACCGCAUAACGUCGCAAGACCAAAGAGGGGGACCUUCGGGCCUCUUGCCAUCGGAUGUGCCCAGAUGGGAUUAGCUAGUAGGUGGGGUAACGGCUCACCUAGGCGACGAUCCCUAGCUGGUCUGAGAGGAUGACCAGCCACACUGGAACUGGAACACGGGCCAGACCCCUACGGGAGGCAGCAGGGGGGAAUAGUGCAACAGGGGCGAAAGCCUUAUGCAGCCAUGCCGCGUGUAAGAAGAAGGCCGUCGGGUUGGAAAGUACUUUCAGGGGGGAGGAAGGGGGGAAAGUUAAAACCCUUGCUCAUUGACGGUACCCGCAGAAGAAGCACCGGCUAACCCCG